CACAGACUUCUCGUAGUUUUGGACAGGUUGCAUAGGAUGCAAAUGCCGAGUGACUAAUUGUAGACUAACCACGUUCCAAGCACUGAUGGUUCUUGACGUGGCCUGACAACAUCUUCUCAAGUUGCAGAAAUGGACUGCCAUUUUUCUGUCUGGGGAGUUUUGGCCUUUCUGAGUUUGGCUCUUGUUGUUUCGUUGAUACUGAACAUUUCACACUAUAUGAAAAAGAAGCAAGCUAUGAUGGCUACUACACAGAAGAUGACCCAGUUUAUGGCAAUCUCAAUCAAGAUAUUUUAGG